GAUGAACGCUGGCGGCGUGCCUAAUACAUGCAAGUCGAGCGAACGGACGAGAAGCUUGCUUCUCUGAUGUUAGCGGCGGACGGGUGAGUAACACGUGGAUACCCUACCUAUAAGACUGGGAUCACUUCGGGACACCGGAGCUAAUACCGGAGAAUCUUUUGAACCGCAUGGUUCAAUAGUGAAAGACGGUCUUGCUGUCACUUAUAGCUGGAUCCGAGCUGCAUUAGCUAGUUGGUAAGGUAACGGCUUACCAAGGCGACGAGGCAUAGCCGACCUGAUAGGCUGGUCGGCCACACUGGAGCUUGGCCGCGGUCCAGACUCCUACGGGAGGCACCAGUAGGGUAUCGUCGGCAAUGGGCGGAAGCCUUACGGAGUAACGCCGCGUGUGUUAUGAAGGUCUUCGGAUCGUAAAACUCUGUUAUUAGUGAUGAACAGAUGUGUAAUUAACCGUGCACAGCUUGACGGUACCUAAUCAGAAAGCCACGGCUAACUACGUG
rnacentral:rRNA from 1 species